rnacentral:tRNA from 1 species
AGACAGUUAGUUUAAGAAAAACCUUUGAUUUCGACUC